rnacentral:misc_RNA from 1 species
UAUGUUUCAGUUGUAUUUGUAAAAUUGUCUUUUCUUUAAAUUCUUGCUUUUUUUAUUCAAAUAUUUGAGUGUGAUUGGAAUAGUUGCUUACAGUGCCUUCAGGAAUGCCUAAUCCAACUUUCGCGCAAUAAGAUGAAAUCUCCUAUCCGAAAGAUAUUAAGAAUGGCUAGACUAGACUAGCCUUUGAAUGUUAAUUUGUAUAGGCACUAGAAAUCAAAUUAGAUCGUUAAAAAAUGAUUAGAGUUUAUGUAAAGAA